rnacentral:rRNA from 1 species
UACGUAGGGGGCAAGCGUUGUCCGGAAUUAUUGGGCGUAAAGAGCGCGUAGGCGGUCCGAUAAGUCGGCUGUGAAAGUCAGGGGCUCAACCCUUGAAAGCCGGCCGAUACUGUCGGACUAGAGUCCGGAAGAGGCAAGUGGAAUUCCCGGUGUAGCGGUGAAAUGCGCAGAUAUCGGGAGGAACAUCAGUGGCGAAGGCGGCCCUCUGGUCCAGUACUGACACUCAAGUGCGAAAGCGUGGGGAGCAAACAGG